AUGAACGCUGGCGGCGUGCCUCAUACAUGCAAGUCGAGCGAACGGACGAGAAGCUUGCUUCUCUGAUGUUAGCGGCGGACGGGUGAGUAACACGUGGAUAACCUACCUAUAAGACUGGGAUAACUUCGGGAAACCGGAGCUAAUACCGGAUAAUAUUUUGAACCGCAUGGUUCAAAAGUGGAAGACGGUCUUGCUGUCACUUAUAGAUGGAUCCGCGCUGCAUUAGCUAGUUGGUAAGGUAACGGCUUACCAAGGCAACGAUGCAUAGCCGACCUGAGAGGGUGAUCGGCCACACUGGAACUGAGACACGGUCCAGACUCCUACGGGAGGCAGCAGUAGGGAAUCUUCCGCAAUGGGCGAAAGCCUGACGGAGCAACGCCGCGUGAGUGAUGAAGGUCUUCGGAUCGUAAAACUCUGUUAUUAGGGAAGAACAUAUGUGUAAGUAACUGUGCACAUCUUGACGGUACCUAAUCAGAAAGCCACGGCUAACUACGUG
rnacentral:rRNA from 1 species